rnacentral:rRNA from 1 species
UACGAAGGGGGCUAGCGUUGCUCGGAUUUACUGGGCGUAAAGGGCGCGUAGGCGGUUCGUACAGUCAGACGUGAAAUUCCUGGGCUCAACCUGGGGGCUGCGUUUGAUACGUGCGGACUUGAGUGCGGAAGAGGGUCGUGGAAUUCCUGGUGUAGCGGUGAAAUGCGCAGAUAUCAGGAAGAACACCCGUGGCGAAGGCGGCUCUCUGGGACGGUACUGACGCUGAGACGCGAAAGCGUGGGGAGCGAACAGG